rnacentral:rRNA from 1 species
AACGAACGCUGGCGGCAUGCCUAACACAUGCAAGUCGAACGAAGCCUUCGGGCUUAGUGGCGCACGGGUGCGUAACGCGUGGGAAUCUGCCCUUAGGUACGGAAUAACUCAGGGAAACUUGUGCUAAUACCGUAUGAUGUCGAGAGACCAAAGAUUUAUCGCCUAGGGAUGAGCCCGCGUAGGAUUAGCUAGUUGGUGGGGUAAAGGCCUACCAAGGCGACGAUCCUUAGCUGGUCUGAGAGGAUGAUCAGCCACACUGGGACUGAGACACGGCCCAGACUCCUACGGGAGGCAGCAGUGGGGAAUAUUGGACAAUGGGCGAAAGCCUGAUCCAGCAAUGCCGCGUGAGUGAAGAAGGCCUUCGGGUUGUAAAGACUCUUUUACCCGGGUAAGAUAAUGACUGUACCGGGAGAAUAAGCCCGGCUAACUCCGUGCCAGCAGCCGCGGU